UACGUAGGGGGCAAGCGUUGUCCGGAUUUAUUGGGCGUAAAGAGCGUGUAGGCGGCCGUACAGGUCAGCUGUGAAAACUCGAGGCUCAACCUCGAGACGUCGGUUGAAACCGUAGCGUAGAGUCCGGAAGAGGAGAGUGGAAUUCCCGGUGUAGCGGUGAAAUGCGCAGAUAUCGGGAAGAACACCCGUGGCGAAGGCGGCUCUCUGGGACGGUACUGACGCUGAGACGCGAAAGCGUGGGGAGCGAACAGG
rnacentral:rRNA from 1 species